rnacentral:rRNA from 1 species
AACGUAGGACACAAGCGUUAUCCGGAGUUACUGGGCGUAAAGGGCGUGUAGGCGGACCUAUAAGUCUAUUCUGAAAGCUCCUGGCUAAACUGGGAGAGGCGAAUGGAGACUGUAGAUCUAGAGUGAGGAAGAGGAAAGUGGAAUUCCGCGUGUAGUGGUGAAAUGCGUAGAGAUGCGGAGGAACACCAGUGGCGAAAGCGACUUUCUGGUCCUUAACUGACGCUGAGGUGCGAAAGCAUGGGGAGCGAACGGG